rnacentral:snRNA from 1 species
GUGCUCGCUUCGGCAGCACAUAUACUAAAUUUGGAAUGAUACAGAGAAGAUUAGCAUGGCCCCUGCACAAGGAUGACACACAAAUUCGUGAAGCGUUCCAUAUUUUU